UUACUCCUUCUUAUUAUAAUUCAGCAGUGGUACUUCUCUACCACACCGACACCUAGGUCCCAGGAACAACUUCAGUGAUGGCACUCAUUCUUCUACCCUCUCGAACCCUUCUAUGUGCAAACAAGCACCAAAUUCACAUCCUAGGCAAACGAAACUGACCAAAAUGGGAUCGACAGAACGGAAGGAGGAAAGGUUCAAAAUCAGGAUCGAUUGGGAUGGUUUCACUCUCACCUGCUGCACGGACAUGCGGGCCCUGCCACCCCCACCAUGUGCUUCCAUCACAUGGUCGUCUGCAUCAGCAGCACCAUAUAUGUAGACGCCGGCGCACAACAUGGUGUCCUUACCGGCGAUGGCAGCGCUCAGCUCCUCUAAGAUGGCCUCGAAGGUGGCCCGAGACAUGCAGGGCACAC
rnacentral:lncRNA from 1 species